UGUUAUCUUGUUUGGAAAAGGAUAUUUGCAGAUAUAAUUAAAGACCUUAGGAUGAGAUCAUCCUGGAUUAUUCUAGUGGACCCUAAAUCCUAUCCCAUUAGAGCAAGGCCAAGGGAGAUUUGAGAGACAGAAGAGGAAGAGGCAAUGUGACCAACAGCGUAGAGAUGGAAGUGAUGCAGCCAAAAGCCCAGGAAUGCCUGGAGCUGCCAGAAACUGAAAGAGACAAGGAACAGAUUCUCCUUUUGAGCUGCCAUAACAUAGCACUGCCAACACCUCAGUUUCUGACUCUGGCCUACAGAACUAUAAGGUCCUACCUGUUCCUGGAUGCCUGGGUCAACUGCCUCAUUAUCAGUGGAAAGCAGAGUGUGGGUGGGAAAGAAGAGCUCUGA
rnacentral:lncRNA from 1 species